AACGCGAAGAACCUUACCAAGGCUUGACAUCCCGAUGACCGUCCUAGAGAUAGGACUUCUCUUCGGAGCAUUGGUGACAGGUGGUGCAUGGUUGUCGUCAGCUCGUGUCGUGAGAUGUUGGGUUAAGUCCCGCAACGAGCGCAACCCUUAUCUUCAGUAGCCAUCAUUUAGUUGGGCACUCUGGAGAGACUGCCGUGGAUAACACGGAGGAAGGUGGGGAUGACGUCAAAUCAUCAUGGCCCUUACGUCCGGGGCUACACACGUGCUACAAUGGCUGGUAACAAAGGGCAGCUACUGUGCGGGCAGAUGCUAAUCUCCAAAACCCAGUCCCAGUUCGGAUUGUAGUCUGCAACUCGACUACAUGAAGCUGGAAUCGCUAGUAAUCGCGAAUCAGCCAUGUCGCGGUGAAUACGUUCCCGGGUCUUGUACACACCG
rnacentral:rRNA from 1 species